CUGCACGAGCCUCCCGGGCUUCUCCUAUUACUUGAAUGAAGAAGAAAGCCCCAAUGCUCGUGCUAUAGAGCAUGCCGUUUAGUGUUGCAGUUUAGCCUUUUCUCUUUUCAUCGGCUGAUCUGUGUCAAAUAAACGGCUAAACCC